UGUUAAACAUCAAUUACUAUCAGAAAAUACCUUCCACCCUCCUCAAUUAUUCAACCUCUCUCUCUCUCUCUCUCUCUCUCUCUCUCUCUACAUCAUUGUUGUCUUAACUAUUUUCUUUAUAUGUUUUGAUCUGUGAUCUCUCUACCUUCGUGUUUACCUCUUUAUGAGAAUUUAAUAAAGGGUUUCCUCAACAGAGUUCUUUGGCAUUCUGUCCACCUCUCUUUUUAUUCAAAAAGGGUAAAAGAAAAAGGAAAGAAACUGCCUUUAUGCACAUUGAGGGUGUAGUUUGACAAAGGAUAAACAAAUUUACCAUUUUGUGUGACUAGUGUCUAGUGUGAAAGAAAAUAAAAAGAUCACAUAGAUGAUAACUUUAUAUGUUUUGUACAGUGUAGUUUGUAGAAGAUGGAAGAGAAAGAUGACAGCUUUAUGUGUUUUGUGUGUAGUAUGAAGAAGAAAGAAAUGAAAGACUUGACUUUAUCUGUUUUGACAUUAGGGUGUAGUGUGAAGAAGAAAUGAAAGAAAAAAGAUAGAUAUAUUUUUUUGGUUUUUGUGUAGGAUGGAGGUGGGCAUACUGCCAAUGGAGCUCUGUUGGUAUCUCUUUGUAAAACUCUCGUGAUGAUACUAUAUUGUUAACAUCUCACACUUCUCUUAUUACACACCAAAAUCAGGUAACAUUACAAUCUCCCUUAUGUCUUUUGUUGGAUGGUAUUUUUUGUUUUGUUUCGUAGGCUUCUUAUAUUCAAUUGUAAUAUUUGGGAAAUCAUGCAUAGUUUUGCAUGAUCUUUAUGGGUGUUUCUGAUCUUGAUUCAACAUGAAUCUUGUUUUAUUUGUGUGUUUAUGUGCCAUCUUACUUCUCUUUCUUUGAUUCUUAUUUUCAUAAAAAUUCUUUAAGAAAUCAUACACUUGUUUGGCCUUUGUGGAUAUAUGUUUCUGAUACUUGUUCACAAUGGAUUUUGUUUUCUUUUGAUGGAUGUUACUCUUUUGUUUCUUUUCUUAUAUUCACAUGAAUCUUCAAGAAAUCAUGUAUGCUUGUUUGACCUUUGUAGUGUUUUAUAUCUUUAAUUUAUUUUGGCUUGUGUGAUACUAAGCUUUAGCUUCUUAGAUUCUCUUGAAAAUUUUAAGAAAUCAUGCAUACUUGUUUGGCCUUUGUAGGUGUUUUAUAUCCUUAAUUCAGUUUGUUUUGUGUGAGACUAAGCUUUUGUUUCUUUUGAAUUCUUAAAUAUAGUUGAAAUCUUUAAGAAAUCAUGCUUGCUUGUUUAACCUUUGUAGGUGUAUUAUGUCUUUGAUUGAAUUUGGCUUUUGUGAGACAAAGCUUUUGUUUCUAUGACUUCUUAUAUUCACUUGAAAUCCUUAAGAAAUCCAUGCAUGCUUGUUUGGCUUUUCUGGGUGUUUCAGAUCUGAUUCAACAUGGAUGCUAUAUGUUUUUUUCUUUCUACUCUAAAAUCUUUUAGAGAUCAUGCAUGUUUGACCUUUAUGGUGUAAUGAUUCUUUGCAAAAAGAAGAGAUCAUCAUUAAAAGCUUCCACAUUUACUUCUGUGAGUCCUACCCUUUGACUCUCCAUCAUUCAAAAAAAACCCUACUUUAUAUAUAAAAGAUAUAUUCAAGAUGGAUCCAGAAGAUUUAAUCUUCUUGUAAACUCCUAUAUACUCUCAAAGUUUUUUUCUUGUGUGUUUUCUUCAAGGUCUUUGUGUGUGUAAAAAGGUUAUUAUCUUUCUAGAAUUAUAAAGUAAGAACCUGAGGAUAUUACAAAGAUCACUUUUUAAAUAUUUUUUUUAAUGGCAUGCAUACAAAACGGGUUGAGAACUAAAAUGUUUCAUUAUGCAUGUCUGCCAUGAUACAAAUCCUGAAAGGUUGUACUUUUGGCUUUAAAGACUUGAACAGUAUUUGAUGAUGCCAGAAACAUGAAAAGAAGAGGGGCAAAGGGGAGUUAAUGUAGUACAACCAAAUAUGCACUUAAGGUCGCUAUGAAAAGGCUUAUUCUAUACGCACCCCCCCUCUUUCCUGAUUAUACCCCCCUUGUGAGAGGAAAACUGUUGGUCCCACGCAGGCCCCACCUGUAAGUAUGUGAGAGGAGGUGGGUGAAAAAAGUAAAUAGGGGGGUGUAGAAAGUAGCACCCCUAUGAAAAUUACCAUGCUUUCAAAUUGUACCCCCUGGCCCCUGUUGUCGCAGUAAUAAUUGCUACCAUAUUGCACAAAAGAAAUUGACCAAACGGCACCAGUUUAUCAUUAUCCGCCAUUAUUUUAUCGUUUAGUACGUUGGUGGGCCGGGUGGCUAGCAGUGACUAUCACCAUUUAAGCGAAGGUCUCAGGUUAUAUCCUUGGAAAAGAGAGGUUGGUUCAAAUAAAAAGCAUUUUUAACGCAAAAACCUGAAAACCAACUAAAAAAGUCUUAAAAACACACCUGAUAAAAACCAAAGAGGAAAAGAGAUAAAACUGAAUUCACAUAUUUCAUUCUAUUCAACAUUACAAUAUAU
rnacentral:lncRNA from 1 species